GGGCCAAAUUUGAAGUAGAGUAGUUUAGAAGUAUCAGCUGACCCUCCUAAACAACUCUAAUUCGAGUUUGGGCCC
rfam:Haemonchus placei strain MHpl1 genome assembly, scaffold: HPLM_scaffold0000372